CCAAGCUACGAAGAGCCAAUGGUGAAUGCCUUGGCGCCGAACACCGAUGAAGGACGUGAUAGGCUGCGAUAAGCCACGGGGAGCCGCCGAAUAGGCUUUGAUCCGUGGAUAUCCGAAUGGGGAAACCCGGCACCUUUUAUCGGGUGUCACUCCUGCCUGAAUCUAUAGGGCAGGUAGAGGGAACGAGGGGAAUUGAAACAUCUCAGUACCCUGAGGAAAAGAAAGCAACAGCGAUUCCCGGAGUAGCGGCGAGCGAAAUGGGAAGAGCCUAAACCGAAUCCGGUGGUAAAGCCUGGUGGCGUUGCCGGAUCGGUGUUGUGGGACAUCCCCGACCGAGCACCAGAUCGGUCAAGGAGUUACAAAGCAGGCAGAUAGCGGAACCGUACAGGAAAGGCGGGCCGCAGAGGGUGACAGCCCCGUACGCGAAAUCUGCUUGCCUCCUGGGAUUGCUCCCGAGUAGCGCCGGUUCCGUGAAGGCCGGCGUGAAUCUGCGAGGACCACCUCGUAAGGCUAAAUAUGUGUCGGCGACCGAUAGCGAACUAGUACCGUGAGGGAAAGGUGAAAAGUACCCCGGGAGGGGAGUGAAAUAGUACCUGCAACCAUUGGUUUACGAGCAGUUGAAGCGCUACUGGGCACUUGUGUCCAAGCGCGACAGCGUGCCUUUUGAAGAAUGAGCCAGCGAGUUACGGUGUGUGGCAAGGUUAACCAGUGAUGGGAAGCCGGAGCGAAAGCGAGUCCGAAUAGGGCGCACAGUCGCAUGCUGUAGACCCGAAGCCGUGUGAUCUAUCCAUGGGCAGGGUGAAGCGGAGGUAAGACUCCGUGGAGGCCCGAACCGACCUAGGUUGAAAACUGGGCGGAUGACCUGUGGAUAGGGGUGAAAGGCCAAUCAAACACGGUGAUAUCUGGUUCUCCCCGAAAUGCAUUUUGGUGCAGCGUCGCACGUUCAGCCAUGGAGGUAGAGCACUGAUUGGGCUAGGGGGCCCACAAGCUUACCGACCCCAGUCAAACUCCGAAUGCCAUGGCUCCAGAGUGCGGCAGUGAGUCCACGGGGGAUGAGCUUCGUUGGACGAGAGGGAAACAGCCCAGAGCGCCGGCUAAGGCCCCUAAGUGUGUAUUAAGUGGCAAACGAUGUGGGAUUGCCCAGACAGCCAGGAGGUUGGCUUAGAAGCAGCCACCCUUGAAAGAGUGCGUAACAGCUCACUGGUCGAGUGGUCCUGCGCGGAUAAUGUAACGGGGCUAAAUACACCGCCGAAGCCGCGCCUUUGAGUUCGCUUUCGAGCGAGCUUGAGGGGUAGGGGAGCGUCGUGCCUGCAGCGAAGCCGGAGCGUGAGCGCCGGUGGAGCGGGUCCGAGUGAGAAUGCUGGCAUGAGUAGCGAGAGAGGGGUGCGAAUCCCCUCCGCCGUAAGCCCAAGGGUUCCUGGGGAAGGCUGGUCCUCCCAGGGUUAGUCGGGAGCUAAGGCGAGGCCGAGAGGCGUAGUCGAUGCACAACCGGUUGAUAUUCCGGUACCACCGCGUGCGCGCCCAGUCCAAAAUGCGGUUGCUAAGGGGCUGUCCUCCCUUCGGGGAACGACGAACCGACCCACCGCACCGAGGACAGCAAUGAGGGGACGCAGGAGGAUAGGUGAACCCAGGCGAUGGUAGACCUGGGGUAAGCGAGUAGGACGGGGACUAGGUAAGUCCGGGCCCCAUAAAGUCCGAGACGCGAUGCCGAGCCGCUACAGGCGAAGUCAUUGAUUCCAUGCUGCCUAGAAAAGCCUCUAGCGAGUUCACGUGGUGCCCGUACCUAAACCAACACAGGUAGGCAGGUAGAGCAUACUCAGGCGAACGGGAGAACUGUGGUUAAGGAACUCGGCAAAUUGCAUCCGUAACUUCGGGAGAAGGAUGACCCUGCGAUGGUGACGGCACUAGCUGCCCGAGCCGGAGAGGGUGGCACAAAAUAGGGGAAAGCGACUGUUUACUAAAAGCACAGCAGCGUGCGAAGUCGUAAGACCAUGUAUACGCUGUGACGCCUGCCCGGUGCCGGAAGGUUACGGGGAACGGUUAGCUCUUCGGAGCGAAGCUGUGAACCUAAGCCCCGGUAAACGGCGGCCGUAACUAUAACGGUCCUAAGGUAGCGAAAUUCCU
rnacentral:rRNA from 1 species